GGCUAGAUAAGAUUUGGUAGUUGCGGUGGCCCGCGGGCAGCGGCGUUUUCACAAAGCCGAGGACAUGGAUUCAAAAGAGGAAGCGAGUGGGAGUGAAGGCGAAGAGUACGUGUACAGGAUUAGUACGGCUAAGGAGUGGGAAGUCUUGCAGAAAGAUAGAUCUAUUUUUGGUGGAGAUCUUGAUAAAUCGUCCGGUUUUAUCCACCUCAGCAAGCUCCACCAGGUUAAGUCAACAUUGCAAAACUUCUUCUUGAACACUAAUUUGGAGUUGUAUUUGCUUCAAAUUGACGCUAAGAAGCUUGGGGAUGGAUUGAUAUAUGAAGUUG
rnacentral:misc_RNA from 1 species